rnacentral:tRNA from 1 species
AGUUCUAUGGUGUAGGGGCAGCACUUCGGAUUUUGAUUCCGACAACCCCGGUUCGAUCCCGGGUAGGACUA